GACGGAGGGUGCAAGCGAUGCUCGGACUCACUGGGCGUAAAGAGCACGUAGGCGGCUUUGUAAGCCUGAUGUGAAAGCCCACGACUCAAUCGUGGAAGUGCAUUGGAUACUGCAUAGCUAGAGUGCAGGAGGGGUAAGCGGAAUUCCAGGUGUAGAGGUGAAAUUCGUAGAUAUCUGGAGGAACAACGGUGGCGAAGGCGGCUUACUGGACUGUUACUGACGCUGAGGUGCGAACGUGUGGGGAGCGAACAGG
rnacentral:rRNA from 1 species